GUAUUAUAUAACAGGAGAGGUUAGCCGUCCCAUUGACAAGGAUGGAAGUGUCCCUUGGGCCUGACAACAGCAUAGGGUUAAUGCACUGCCACUUACUUCGUGGGAUCUAACUACCGUAUUUU